AUUGAACGCUGGCGGCAGGCCUAACACAUGCAAGUCGAGCGGUAGAGAGAAGCUUGCUUCUCUUGAGAGCGGCGGACGGGUGAGUAAUGCCUAGGAAUCUGCCUGGUAGUGGGGGAUAACGUUCGGAAAACGGACGCUAAAUACCCGCAUACGUCCUACGGGAGAAAGCAGGGGACCUUCGGGCCUUGCGCUAUCAGAUGAGCCUAGGUCGGAUUAGCUAAGUUGGUGAGGUAAUGGCUCACCAAGGCGCGAUCCGUAACUGGUCUGAGAGGAUGAUCAGUCACACUGGAACUGAGACACGGUCCAGACUCCUACGGGAGGCAGCUAGUGGGGAAUAUUGGACAAUGGGCGAAAGCCUGAUCCAGCCAUGCCGCGUGUCGUGAACGAAGGUCUUCGGAUUGUAAAGCACUUUAAG
rnacentral:rRNA from 1 species